GUCGUAACAAGGUUUCCGUAGGUGAACCUGCGGAAGGAUCAUUAUUGAAUAACUUGGUGUUGAGCUGGCCCUAGUCGGGCAUGUGCUUGCAUCACAUUAUUUACCUAUCUCUUGUGCACCUUUUGUAGUCUUUGAAGUGUUCGCAGUCAAAUGCGGUUUUGGGGAUUGGGCUUUGUUGCGCUUUCCCCUGUUUGCUUCAAAGGCUAUGUUUUUAUACACACUAUUAAAGUCACAGAAUGUCUCUUAUUGACUUUCGAGUCAGUAAAUCUAUACAACUUUCAGCAACGGAUCUCUUGGCUCUCCCAUCGAUGAAGAACGCAGCGAAAUGCGAUAAGUAAUGUGAAUUGCAGAAUUCAGUGAAUCAUCGAAUCUUUGAACGCACCUUGCGCCCCUUGGUAUUCCGAAGGGCAUGCCUGUUUGAGUGUCAUUAAAUUCUCAACCUUGCAAGUUUUUGCUUGUGAGGCUUGGAUGUGAGGGUUUUUGCUGGCUUCCAUUCAGUUGGAUGGUCUGCUCCCUUUAAAUUCAUUAGUGGGAUCCUUUGUGGAUGGUCACUUGGUGUGAUAAUUAUCUACGCCGCCUGAACCUGAAACAAGACUUGUGGGAACCUGCUUAUAACCGUCUCUUUCGGAGACAGCCUACAUUGACAAUUUGACCUCAAAUCAGGUAGGACUACCCGCUGAACUUAAGCAUAUCAAUAAGCGGAGGAAAAGAAACUAACAAGGAUUCCCCUAGUAACUGCGAGUGAAGCGGGAAAAGCUCAAAUUUAAAAUCUGGCGGUUCCACCGUCCGAGUGUAAUUAGAGA
rnacentral:rRNA from 1 species